rnacentral:rRNA from 1 species
AACGAACGCUGGCGGCAUGCCUAACACAUGCAAGUCGAACGAGACCUUCGGGUCUAGUGGCGCACGGGUGCGUAACGCGUGGGAACCUGCCCUUAGGUUCGGAAUAACUCCCCGAAAGGGGUGCUAAUACCGGAUAAUGUCUUCGGACCAAAGAUUUAUCGCCUUUGGAUGGGCCCGCGUUGGAUUAGCUAGUUGGUAGGGUAAAAGCCUACCAAGGCGACGAUCCAUAGCUGGUCUGAGAGGAUGAUCAGCCACACUGGGACUGAGACACGGCCCAGACUCCUACGGGAGGCAGCAGUGGGGAAUAGUGGACAAUGGGCGAAAGCCUGAGCCAGCAAUGCCGCGUGAGUGAUGAAGGCCUUAGGGUUGUAAAGCUCUUUUACCCGGGAUGAUAAUGACAGUACCGGGAGAAUAAGCUCCGGCUAACUCCGUG